AACGAACGCUGGCGGCAUGCCUAACACAUGCAAGUCGAACGAGACCUUCGGGUCUAGUGGCGCACGGGUGCGUAACGCGUGGGAACCUGCCCUUAGGUUCGGAAUAACUCCCCGAAAGGGGUGCUAAUACCGGAUAAUGUCUUCGGACCAAAGAUUUAUCGCCUUUGGAUGGGCCCGCGUUGGAUUAGCUAGUUGGUAGGGUAAAAGCCUACCAAGGCGACGAUCCAUAGCUGGUCUGAGAGGAUGAUCAGCCACACUGGGACUGAGACACGGCCCAGACUGCUACGGGAGGCAGCAGUGGGGAAUAUUGGACAAUGGGCGAAAGCCUGAUCCAGCAAUGCCGCGUGAGUGAUGAAGGCCUUAGGGUUGUAAAGCUCUUUUACCCGGGAUGAUAAUGACAGUACCGUGAGAAUAAGCACCGGCUAACUCCGUG
rnacentral:rRNA from 1 species